GGCCCGGUGGCUCCCCGCCCGCUCCUCGCGCAGCCCCUCCGUGCGACCCCGGGCGUGAGGCGGCCGAGCUGAGGCGCCGAGAGAAAGAAUCAAGAAUCAACACUGGGCUAUUUCCUAAGAUUAAACCAUGAAAGCCCACUUGGAGGCUGCAUGGCCAUCUGCACACUUGAACCUGAAACAUGGACUUUUUCAAUCGGGGAGAUCUCCUUCAGCUAAAUCAUCAGAAGUGAUUAAGUGACUGGAAAAAGCCUCUCUGUGAAAAUGACAUUUCAGCUGGGACCCAAGGAUGCGCUGGAAGGAGUGUAUGAAGUGACUCCUCCCUGCCAUUUAAAGUACAGAAAAAAGAAUGAAAUCAUGCCAUGUGCAGCAACAGGAUGGACCUAGAGAUGAUCAUAUUAAGUGAAGGAAAGAAACGUUCAAAAAUGUACUGAGGUAGAGCUUCAAGAUGGCGUAAGAGUAAGAUGUGGAGAUCACCUUCCUUCCCACAAAUACAUUAGAAAUACAUCUACACGUGGAACAACUCCUACAGAACACCUACUGAACGCUGGCAGAAGACCUCAGACCUCCCAAAAGGCAAGAAACU